rnacentral:rRNA from 1 species
UUGGAGGGCAAGUCUGGUGCCAGCAGCCGCGGUAAUUCCAGCUCCAAUAGCGUAUAUUAAAGUUGUUGCAGUUAAAAAGCUCGUAGUUGAAUUUCGGGAUCAAUGUUUCGGUCAUGCCGUUGGUAUGUACUGAUAUUAUUGAUUUCUCACCUUCUAAAGAACCGUAAUGCCAUUAAUUUGGUGUCACGGGGAAUUAGGACUGUUACCUUGAAAAAAUUAGAGUGUUUAAAGCAGGCUCACGCUUGAAUACAUUGGCAUGGAAUAAUGAAAUAGGACAUCCGAUUCUAUUUUGUUGGUUUCUAGGAUCGAUGUAAUGAUUAAUAGGGAUAGUUGGGGGCAUUAGUAUUCAAUUGUCAGAGGUGAAAUUCUUGGAUUUAUUGAAGACUAACUACUGCGAAAGCAUUUGCCAAGGAUGUUUUCAUUAAUCAAGAACGAAAGUUAGGGGAUCGAAGACGAUCAGAUACCGUCGUAGUCUUAACCAUAAACUGUGCCGACUAGGGAUCGGAUGAUGUUAAUUUUUUAAUGACUCAUACGGCGCCUUACGGGAAACCAAAGUGUUUGGGUUC